rnacentral:rRNA from 1 species
GAUGAACGCUGGCGGCGUGCCUAAUACAUGCAAGUCGAGCGAACAGACGCGGAUCUUGCUCCUCUGACGUUAGCGGCGGACGGGUGAGUAACACGUGGAUAACCUACCUAUAAGACUGGGAUAACUUCGGGAAACCGGAGCUAAUACCGGAUAAUAUAUUGCACCGCAUGGUUCAAUAGUGAAAGACGGUUUUGCUGUCACUUCUAGAUGGAUCCGCGCCGCAUUAGCUAGUUGGUAAGGUAACGGCUUACCAAGGCAACGAUGCGUAGCCGACCUGAGAGGGUGAUCGGCCACACUGGAGGUGAGACACGGUCCAGACUCCUACGGGAGGCAGCAGUAGGGAAUCUUCGGCAAUGGGCGAAAGCCUGACGGAGCGACGCCGCGUGAGUGAUGAAGGUCUUCGGAUCGUAAAACUGUGUUAUGGGGGAAAAACAAAUGUGUAAGUAACUAUGCACGUCUUGACGGUACCUAAUCAGAAAGCCACGGCUAACUACGUG